rnacentral:rRNA from 1 species
CUGCCUGCCCAGUGACACUAAGUUUAACGGCCGCGGUAUUAUGACCGUGCAAAGGUAGCGUAAUCACUUGUCUUUUAAAUAAAGACCAGUAUGAAUGGCAAGACGAAAGUUCAACUGUCUCCCUAAAUUAAUCAAUGAAAUUGAUUUUUCCGUGCAGAAGCGGAAAUAUAAUUAUAAGACGAGAAGACCCUAUGGAGCUUUAAACAUAUGAUCAAUUGCGUAACAUAAAAUCCAAAAGAUAAAAUAUUUAAUAAAACAAUAUGAUCAAAAUUUUAGGUUGGGGCGACCACGGAGAAAAACAAAACCUCCGAGAUGAAAAGAAUAUCUUAAUUCGAGAACUACAAUUCUAAAAAAUAAAAUAUUUAACAUAAUUGAUCCAAUACUUUGAUCAACGAACCAAGUUACCCUAGGGAUAACAGCGCAAUCCUCUCCAAGAGUCCCUAUCGACGAGCGGGUUUACGACCUCGAUGUUGGAUCAGGACAUCCCAAUGGUGCAGCCGCUAUUAAAGGUUCGUUUGUUCAACGAUUAAA